rnacentral:lncRNA from 1 species
AGAAGAUGUUGGACAUGUAAAUAAUUGCAUAGUUAUGUAUUUGAUUAUAGUAAAAGCGUGCAGAACUACAUCAGAACUAUAGACCAUUUUGAGUUUGCUAUCCAAUUUUUCAAAAUUUUUAUUUUACUAUACAAUUCUUCAAUUUGUUUGAUUUGAGUCAAUGUCCAGCUUACCUUCUUCCAUACAUUUUAGCUCAUGUCCAACUUACUUUCUUCCAUACAAAAAAUAUGCAUCAAUUCUAUCGGUAUAUUAUAAGUUCAACAACUUUAUUUAAACAACACUUUUAAAUGAGUUCUGAUUAGACCAUUAAGGUCCUUAGCGGAUCAAAAGUAAAUAAUUGGCAAAAUAGU